CAAACGGGUGUAGCAAUACACUAGUGGCGCACGGGUGAGUAAUGCAUGGGAAUCUGCCAAGUAGAGAGGGACAACUCCUGGAAACGGGUGCUAAUACCUCAUAAGCAGGAAACUGGAAAGGUGGGGACCGCAAGGCCUACCGCUACUUGAUGAGCUCAUGUCCCAUUAGCUAGUUGGCGGGGUAACAGCCCACCAAGGCGAAGAUGGGUAGCUGGUCUGAGAGGACGACCAGCCACACUGGAACUGAGACACGGUCCAGACUCC
rnacentral:rRNA from 1 species